AGUGAACGCUGGCGGUAGGCCUAACACAUGCAAGUCGAACGGCAGCACAGUAAUAGCUUGCUCUUACGGGUGGCGAGUGGCGGAUGGGUGAUGAAUACCUCGGAAUCUACUUUUUCGUGGGUGCUGACAUAGGUAAACUUACCCUAAUACCUCAUACGACCGACGGGUGAAAGCAUGGGAUCUUCUGACCUUUUGCGAUUGACUGAGCCGAUGUCGGAUUAGCUAGUUGGCGGGGUAAAGGCACACCAAGGCGACGAUCCGUAGCUGGACUGAGAGGAUGAUCAGCCACACUGGAACUGAGACACGGUCCAGACUCCUACGGGAGGCACCAGUGGGGAAUAUUGGGCAAUGGGCGCAAGCCUGAUCCAGCCAUACCGCGUGGGUGACGAAGGCCUUCGGGUUGUGAAGCCCUUCUGUUGGGAAAGAAAAGCAGCAGGUUAAUACGAAGCUGUUCUGACGGUACCCAAAGAAUAAGCACCGGCUAACUUCGUG
rnacentral:rRNA from 1 species